rnacentral:misc_RNA from 1 species
AUAAAGCGAAACUUCAGUAGAACGCUAAGGAGCUGUGAGCGCGACCUCCUUCUCCUACCUCGUAAUGCUUCGCAAGACUAAUCUCUUCCUCUUCGCGGCAUCGCGCGCUCUGAUGAGCGGUGGCAGCUCGCAUGGCCCCAUGCCGUACCAGGACAAGUCCUACCCGGUGCAACCCCACAACCUGAACGAGCUCCAGCAGCCCCCGGACAGCUGGCGCAAGAGCCCCAUUAUGAGCAAGCUUAUGGACCAGUCUCUGCCGGUGUACGACGACGUGGUGACCGGUGUUGGCCGCCUGUACUGGCAGGAGCCAGCGCGCGUGUGGCACCUGUUCGAGGCCGAUGACACCCUCAUGCUGGAGGAGCACGAUCGCGAGGAGUGGAACGAUCGACCGUAUGUGGCGGUGAACCACCUGUACGAACCUCCGAUCGGUAGUGAGGAGCGCCCCAUCCGCGUGGAGGGCACUGGCAACCCAGGUGACCAGCAGAUCGUACUGUGCUUUGGUAACUGCGCACCGCACGUGCCGCAGUCUAACUACUAUAUGAUGAUGAAGGGCUACAGCAAGACGAAGUGCCCCAUGUGCCAGCAGUGGUUCUACGUCCACAACCGCCCGUGGCUGGUGAUGCACCCUGAUUGGACCGAUGAGCCGGCCGCGGAUGAGGGUCCGGCCUACACGUUCGCCGAGAUCGAGGCCGAGUUCGACCGCGAUUUCCACGAGUUCGGCGUCUACCUCAAUGCUGAGUAAGCCACAUAGCUUCUACCAUUCCCUUCUUGUCCCUUAAAUUGCAUGUGUGCGUGUGUGUGCGUAUGUGCCACUGUUGGUGCGAUUUGCAUCUGCAGGUGCGCUGUCUCUCUCUCUCUCUAUCUCCUCGUUCACGUCAUUCUCGCUCUUUUUCUUUUGCGCGCUCUCUUGGUGGAGACAGUAGCGACGCAUUCAAGAAACAACCGCAGCAACCGGUAGCGGCGACACUACACAGUCUGGGAAGAAAACGGAGGACAGAAGAAUAGCGUUUUGCUUCUUGCUGCCGUUGUUGUUGUCGCUGUUCUCCUGUUGGCCCGACGCGGACGCAAGGAUAAGUGCGACGGCACAGGGAGGCAGACGAGAGGAGCACUUAGCUGAUUCAUUGUUGCUCGUUGAAGUAAUAGCAGGUGGCCAAACACGUAGGGAGGGACAACGAAUGGAGAAAGAAACAUACACAGGGCCGCGGGAACGGAAGGAGUCAAGGGGGAGGGGUGGCGAUGGAAGGGGGGAGUGAAAAACGCGAAGGGAUGCUUGACGCGUGAAAUGUAACUCUGACGUUGUAAAACUCUCCCGCCAUUUCUUUGCUUUCCCCAUCGGCUCCCUUCUACAAACACACACACACACACACACACACACACACAUUCUAG